CCGAGUUUACAACUCCCAAACCCAAUGUGAACCAUACCAAACUGUUGCCUUCGGCGGGGUCACGCCCCGGGUGCGUCGCAGCCCCGGAACCAGGCGCCCGCCGGAGGGACCAACCAAACUCUUUCUGUAGUCCCCUCGCGGACGUUAUUUCUUACAGCUCUGAGCAAAAAUUCAAAAUGAAUCA
rnacentral:misc_RNA from 1 species